rnacentral:rRNA from 1 species
AGGGUUUGAUCCUGGCUCAGAGUGAACGCUGGCGGUAGGCCUAACACAUGCAAGUCGAACGGCAGCACAGAGGAGCUUGCUCCUUGGGUGGCGAGUGGCGGACGGGUGAGGAAUACAUCGGAAUCUACUCUGUCGUGGGGGAUAACGUAGGGAAACUUACGCUAAUACCGCAUACGACCUACGGGUGAAAGCAGGGGAUCUUCGGACCUUGCGCGAUUGAAUGAGCCGAAGUCGGAAUCGCUAGUAAUCGCAGAUCAGCAUUGCUGCGGUGAAUACGUUCCCGGGCCUUGUACACACCGCCCGUCACACCAUGGGAGUUUGUUGCACCAGAAGCAGGUAGCUUAACCUUCGGGAGGGCGCUUGCCACGGUGUGGCCGAUGACUGGGGUGAAGUCGUAACAAGGUAGCCCG